rnacentral:rRNA from 1 species
GUGUCAGCCGCCGCGGUAAGACGUAGGGGGCCAGCGUUGUUCGGAAUUACUGGGUGUAAAGGGUUCGUAGGCGGUGCGGCAAGUUGGGAGUGAAAUCUCUGGGCUUAACCCAGAGGCUGCUUCCAAAACUGCUGAGCUCGAGUGCCGGAGAGGGUGGCGGAAUUCCCCAAGUAGAGGUGAAAUUCGUAGAGAUGGGGAGGAACACCUGUGGCGAAAGCGGCGCACUGGACCAUAACUGACGCUGAGGCGCGAAAGCUAGGGGAGCAAACAGGAUUAGAUACCCCAGUAGUCC